rnacentral:rRNA from 1 species
UCCAGACUCCUACGGGAGGCAGCAGUGAGGAAUAUUGGUCAAUGGGCGCGAGCCUGAACCAGCCAAGUCGCGUGAGGGAAGACGGUCCUAUGGAUUGUAAACCUCUUUUGUCGGGGAACAAAGGCGCCCACGGGUGGGCGGAUGAGUGUACCCGAAGAAAAAGCAUCGGCUAACUCCGUGCCAGCAGCCGCGGUAAUGCGGAGGAUGCGAGCGUUAUCCGGAUUUAUUGGGUUUAAAGGGUGCGCAGGCGGAAUGUCAAGUCAGCGGUAAAAUUUCGGGGCUCAACCCCGUCGUGCCGUUGAAACUGGCGUUCUUGAGUGAGCGAGAAGUAUGCGGAAUGCGUGGUGUAGCGGUGAAAUGCAUAGAUAUCACGCAGAACUCCGAUUGCGAAGGCAGCAUACCGGCGCUCAACUGACGCUCAUGCACGAAAGCGUGGGUAUCAAACAGGAUUAGAUACCCGAGUAAU